ACACAUGCAAGUCGAACGGAGCUUAGAGGGCUUGCUUUUUAAGCUUAGUGGCGAACGGGUGAGCAACGCGUGAGUAACCUGCCCUGGAGUGGGGGACAACAGUUGGAAACGACUGCUAAUACCGCAUAAGCCCACGGUACCGCAUGGUACUGAGGGAAAAGGAUUUAUUCGCUUUAGGAUGGACUCGCGUCCAAUUAGCUAGUUGGUGAGGUAACGGCCCACCAAGGCGACGAUUGGUAGCCGGACUGAGAGGUUGAACGGCCACAUUGGGACUGAGACACGGCCCAGACUCCUACGGGAGGCAGCAGUGGGGGAUAUUGCACAAUGGGGGAAACCCUGAUGCAGCGACGCCGCGUGGAGGAAGAAGGUUUUCGGAUUGUAAACUCCUGUCGUUAGGGACGAUAAUGACGGUACCUAACAAGAAAGCACCGGCUAACUACGUGCCAGCAGCCGCGGUAAAACGUAGGGUGCAAGCGUUGUCCGGAAUUACUGGGUGUAAAGGGAGCGCAGGCGGGAAGACAAGUUGGAAGUGAAAACCAUGGGCUCAACCCAUGAAUUGCUUUCAAAACUGUUUUUCUUGAGUAGUGCAGAGGUAGAUGGAAUUCCCGGUGUAGCGGUGGAAUGCGUAGAUAUCGGGAGGAACACCAGUGGCGAAGGCGGUCUACUGGGCACCAACUGACGCUGAGGCUCGAAAGCAUGGGUAGCAAACAGGAUUAGAUACCCUGGUAGUCCAUGCCGUAAACGAUGAUUACUAGGUGUUGGGGGAUUGACCCCCUCAGUGCCGCAGUUAACACAAUAAGUAAUCCACCUGGGGAGUAC
rnacentral:rRNA from 1 species